ACAGGAGUGAAAACGAUUUAACUGUAUAGUACAAGCAUCAAGGACAACUUUAAAUUAAGGAGCAACACUGAGUUUGUUCUUAGAAGUGUUUGUCGUUUUAGCACG